AGCAGCCGCGGUAAUUCCAGCUCCAAUAGCGUAUAUUAAAGUUGUUGCAGUUAAAAAGCUCGUAGUUGAAUUUCGGGGUCAGUAGGCUGGUCGUGCCACCGGUACGUACUGGUCUCACUGAUUCCUCCCUCCUGAAGAACCGUAAUGCCAUUAAUUUGGUGUUGCGGGGAAACAGGACUGUUACUUUGAAAAAAUUAGAGUGUUUAAAGCAAGCUAACGCUUGAAUACAUUAGCAUGGAAUAAUGAAAUAGGACGAUCGAUCCUAUUUUGUUGGUUUCUAGGAUUGACGUAAUGAUUAAUAGGGAUAGUUGGGGGCAUUAGUAUUCAAUUGUCAGAGGUGAAAUUCUUGGAUUUAUUGAAGACUAACUACUGCGAAAGCAUUUGCCAAGGAUGUUUUCAUUAAUCAAGAACGAAAGUUAGGGGAUCGAAGACGAUCAGAUACCGUCGUAGUCUUAACCAUAAACUAUGCCGACUAGGAAUCAGACGAUGUUAAUUUUUUAAUGACUCGUUUGGCACCUUA
rnacentral:rRNA from 1 species